AUGGAAGGUGAAGCAAGUUUCUCACAAAUUUCUCCGCCCACCUUUGAUGGAGACAACUAUGACCUUUGGGCAGUUAAAAUGGAGUCUUAUUUGGAGGCGUUGGACCUUUGGGAAGCCGUGGAAGAGGAUUACGAAAUUCCUCCGCUGCCGAACAAUCCUACCAUGGCUCAAAUAAAAUUGCACAAGGAGAAAAAAAACCAAGAAGGCAAAAGCAAGAUCAUGUCUCUUUACUGA